UCUCCGUUGGUGAACCAGCGGAGGGAUCAUUACCGAGUUUACAACUCCCAAACCCCUGUGAACUUAUACCUUUACUGUUGCUUCGGCGGGUCAUUGCCCCGGGGAAACGACAGGUGUGGCCGUCAGGUCCCCCCUGCCCGACCCCCCGGAAACAGGCGCCCGCCGGGGGACUCAAACUCUUAUGUAUUUUUGUUUACUGUAUACUGUCUGAGUAAAAAUUACAAAUGAAUCAAAACUUUCAACAACGGAUCUCUUGGUUCUG
rnacentral:misc_RNA from 1 species